UCCAUACUUCUAAAUACCGUAUUUCUCUGCCUUUCAGGAAUCCGUGAGAAUUUACCCUGCUUCCUGUUGGGAGUCUGGAGGAGACUGAAGCAGAGACUGGGAUCAGAAAAGGCUUCACCAGACACGAGGCAUAUCCAGUCUUCCAGCCCUUGGAUGGGAGCUGACAGAAAUACAUGCAUCUAGCAUGAGUUAAGAUUCCUUGGAAGAUUAUGCUCAAGGAGAACAAAGAUGGGAGCAGGAUGGGUUCUCUGAACGGGACUGAAUGAGAACUGGACCGGUUCUAUACGCUGGCUGCCUGGAGCCCCAUGCUGAGGAACAAGUCUGCUCAGGAGAAGAAAAUAGCCACGACAACUUGCUGUGUGAUCCCCAGCAGGUCAAUCCCUCUCUGGGCCUCCAUUUUGUAUCUGUAAAUGAGGAGGUUGGAUAAGACCAGGUGUUGUCAAACUACAGCCUGUGGGCAAAUCCAGACUCCUGCUUGCUGCUAUACAAGCUAAAAAAAAAAAAGUUUUCAUUUCAAGGUUAUUGAUAAACAAUCAAAAGAAGAGUAUGUUGUGACAUGCAAAAAUUGUAAGGAAUUCAAACAUCUGUGCCACAAAUAAAAUUUCACUGGGGCACA
rnacentral:lncRNA from 1 species